GACGAACGCUGGCGGCGUGCUUAACACAUGCAAGUCGAACGGAAAGGCCCUGCUUUUGUGGGUUGCUCGAGUGGCGAACGGGUGAGUAACACGUGAGUAACCUGCCCUUGACUUUGGGAUAACUUCAGGAAACUGGGGCUAAUACCGGAUAGGAGCUCCUGCUGCAUGGUGGGGGUUGGAAAGUUUUGGCGGUUGGGGAUGGACUCGCGGCUUAUCAGCUUGUUGGUGGGGUAGUGGCUUACCAAGGCUUUGACGGGUAGCCGGCCUGAGAGGGUGACCGGCCACACUGGGACUGAGAUACGGCCCAGACUCCUACGGGAGGCAGCAGUGGGGAAUAUUGCACAAUGGGCGGAAGCCUGAUGCAGCAACGCCGCGUGAGGGAUGACGGCCUUCGGGUUGUAAACCGCUUUCGCCUGGGACGAAGCGUGAGUGACGGUACUGGGUGAAGAAGCACCGGCUAACUACGUG
rnacentral:rRNA from 1 species